rnacentral:snRNA from 1 species
AAAAGCAUCUGACGGGAGAUACCAUGAUCAUGAAGGUGGUUUUCCCAGGGUGAGGCUUAUCUACUACUCUCCAUAUGUACUAACCCUUGCAGUCUUCCCAGUUUUCCCAAACGUGAACUUGACUCCAUGAUUUGUGGUAAUGGGGUAUUGCCUUUUUGCUCUCUCCUA